rfam:Triticum aestivum genome assembly, contig: Triticum_aestivum_CS42_TGACv1_scaffold_345106_4DL
ACAACUAGCCAGUCUUUUGGGUAUGAAACCCUUUUGGGCGAGAGUAGUACUAGGAUGGGUGACCUCCUGGGAAGUCCUCGUGAAAAGGUUUC